rnacentral:rRNA from 1 species
AUUGAACGCUGGCGGCAGGCCUAACACAUGCAAGUCGAGCGGAUGAAGGGAGUUUGCUCCUGGAUUCAGCGGCGGACGGGUGAGUAAUGCCUAGGAAUCUGCCUGGUAGUGGGGGAUAACGUCCGGAAACGGGCGCUAAUACCGCAUACGUCCUGAGGGAGAAAGUGGGGGAUCUUCGGACCUCACGCUAUCAGAUGAGCCUAGGUCGGAUUAGCUAGUUGGUGGGGUAAAGGCCUACCAAGGCGACGAUCCGUAACUGGUCUGAGAGGAUGAUCAGUCACACUGGAACUGAGACACGGUCCAGACUCCUACGGGAGGCCGCAGUGGGGAAUAUUGGACGAUGGGCGAAAGCCUGAUCCAGCCAUGCCGCGUGUGUGAAGAAGGUCUUCGGAUUGUAAAGCACUUUAAGUUGGGAGGAAGGGCAGUAAGUUAAUACCUUGCUGUUUUGACGUUACCAACAGAAUAAGCACCGGCUAACUUCGUG